rnacentral:rRNA from 2 species
AAAAGUCGUAACAAGGUUUCCGUAGGUGAACCUGCGGAAGGAUCAUUAC